CCUACGGGAGGCAGCAGUGGGGAAUAUUGGACAAUGGGCGAAAGCCUGAUCCAGCCAUGCCGCGUGUGUGAAGAAGGCUUUCGGGUUGUAAAGCACUUUCAGUGAGGAGGAAGGCCUUAAGGUUAAUACCCUUGAGGAUUGACGUUACUCACAGAAGAAGCACCGGCUAACUCCGUGCCAGCAGCCGCGGUAAU
rnacentral:rRNA from 1 species